GUGGCCUCUUCAGGUUGUGUGUGUGGUGGCCUGGCAUUCAAUCUGUGAGGUGGAUGCGUGUUGGAAGGACCCCUUUUGGUUUCUUUUUGCUCAGAGCUUUCUUUUAAUAAAUUCCGCUCUCCUCACCUUUCAAUGUGUCCGUAUGCCUAAUUUUUCCUGGUCCUGUGACAAGAACCUGAUUUUAGCUGAACUAAGGAGCGAAAGAUCCUGGAUCAUUUUGGUGACCCAUACUGGUACAUGAGGAAAGGUCACAAAACCCUCCUGUGAGAGGAACCCUCUGUGGAAGAACAGAAUAUGUCACCCCAAAAUAUGAAGAAUUGUUGAGCUGAAGAUGAUUAAGAAGAAGCGGAUGCAGGAAAGCUCUCUGCUCUCCCUCUAUUUGCUUAAAAGCAGGAUAAACACUUACAAAGACUAAAGGGGUCCAUUCCAACUAAGAAACUAUGGGGGACCAGGCAUGGUGGCUCACGCCUAUAAUCCCAGCACUUUGGGAGGCCAAGGCCGGCAGAUCACGAGGUCAGGAGAUCGAGACCAUCCUGGCCAACAUGACGCCACAAUCAAGAACUCAGAAGGGUAGAAGAAAAAGAUAGUUUCCCUUCCCUACACAGGGUCCAUGCAUUCAGUGGAGUAAUGAUUCCUGUCCAUGAAAAAAAAAAAAGAAAGUAGAAAAUUUCAGAGAAGAGAAAAAUUUUCCACUUGGGAGCAAGGGCAUGAGGGCAGCGGGGAAGUGGUAGAUAUACUGACAUGUUAAUAUAUUAGGUCUUGUAUUUCUUUUGUACAUAGUCUUUCUUCUUUGACUGCCUCGUUCAUGCAUCUCCACUACUUGAAAAAUUAUUUAAUUUACAAGCAUGUGCCAAAGUCCUACAUCAUGCUUCCUCUAAGAUUCUAUGCAAGCCAAUUCAAAGAUUUCUCUCUUAAAAAUAUUUGUAUGAAAAAAAGACAUGGCUAGGAAAUCACUGUUCAGUAGGAUAAAAUAAAAGUGC
rnacentral:lncRNA from 10 species